rnacentral:rRNA from 1 species
CGGGGUGAGUAACACGUGGAUAACCUACCUAUAAGACUGGGAUAACUUCGGGAAACCGGAGCUAAUACCGGAUAAUAUAUUGAACCGCAUGGUUCAAUAGUGAAAGGCGGUUUUGAUGUCACUUAUAGAUGGAUCCGCGCUGCAUUAGCUAGUUGGUAAGGUAACGGCUUACCAAGGCAACGAUGCGUAGCCGACAUGAGAGGGUGAUCGGCCACACUGGAACUGAGACACGGUCCAGACUCCUACGGGAGGCAGCAGCC